rnacentral:rRNA from 1 species
AUUGAACGCUGGCGGCAUGCUUUACACAUGCAAGUCGAACGGUAACAGGGUGCUUGCGCCGCUGACGAGUGGCGAACGGGUGAGUAAUGCGUCGGAACGUGCCGAGUAGUGGGGGAUAACGCAGCGAAAGUUGUGCUAAUACCGCAUACGUACUGAGGUAGAAAGUGGGGGACCUUCGGGCCUCACGCUAUUCGAGCGGCCGACGUCUGAUUAGCUAGUAGGUGAGGUAAAGGCUCACCUAGGCGACGAUCAGUAGCGGGUCUGAGAGGAUGAUCCGCCACACUGGGACUGAGACAUGGCCCAGACUCCUACGGGAGGCAGCAGUGGGGAAUUUUGGACAAUGGGCGAAAGCCUGAUCCAGCCAUGCCGCGUGUCUGAAGAAGGCCUUCGGGUUGUAAAGGACUUUUGUCGGGGAGGAAAUCCCCAGCGUUAAUACCGCUGGGGGAUGACAGUACCUGAAGAAUAAGCACCGGCUAACUACGUGCCAGCCGCCGCGGUAAAAC